GCUUGCGUGCACUGGCGGGUCUCCAUGAAAGUACAUUACCUCAUAAAUACACGGACUCCGCUUGAUUUUCAUCCAAAGCUGAGUCACAGGUCGCUUACCAGAGUAACAGGGAUGAGUAGCAAAGAACAGAGCUGAGUAACGGACAUUGAAUUGGAACCAUGGAGGUUGGAAGAGAUGUCCAGAGCAGGUCGAAGGAGAGCAUGUUGCUCAGGACUUUGCCCAGACAUAUUUUGAAUGUCUCCAAGGAUGAAGAUCCCACCAACACUAGAGGACCUCUUCCAAUGCCUGAACCAAAGCCAUGAUGAGUUUUGGAUCCAGCCCUGAAUUCUUCCCCUGAGGCCUAUCUUUGCUUUGUAUGAGUGACAGAAAAAUUGUGUAUUUCUAGUUUUUAUUACCAGAGAAAGGUACUUUAUGUUGUGGAUAUUCAAUCUAUUGGCGUGACAUGAUGAUAUUGAUGAAGUGUGGUAAGGAAACGCUUCGGUUCUAAUGAUUUGAUUUCAUUUUGGUUUGACUCCUAUUUCAACACUCCAAACUUUUAAAAGUAUGGGCCAUGUGAGAUGUAAAAUAUAUAUAUCGAUGUCACUAAUCGGAAGCUCUUUCUGGUCACGUUGUAAAGCACACUUAAUCAACUUCUUUAAGAUCAUGUUACAGAAAGCUAUUAACUAUACUCUUAAAACAGUUAAAUAGUUAUAAAUAAUGUUUUAUAUUAUGGCUGACAACACUGAAUUGCCCAGCGUUUAAGGAAAUCUAAUCACAGGGCAUGCAGACAUUGCCUUCCAGUAAGAUGGCGUGGCAAAACUUUGGAACAUAUAAGAAAUCACAUACUAUUGCUAACAUUUCCUAUUAAGGAGAAAGUCUCUCUCUGUAUAUUUUGGAUUUCUUUUCCAACACUUAAUUGCAGCUGAUGAAGAAAAGCUAUUCAAAAGCUGCCAGGAUUUUUAAAUCUGUAUGAGUGAGAUUGAUGAAAUUUGUGGGUUUUCCCCAAAGAGCAUAGGUGAGAGCAGACAUGUAAAUUUUGUAUGUGUGUGCAUGUACGGGUGUGACAGCGAGAGGAGAGAGCAAGAGCUUACUCCUAAGGUGUGAGACUUGGCAGCGCUGCACUGUACAAUGGGCACGAGAAACCGCAUGUCUGACUGCAUUUGAAUUGCUGUUAUUUCACUGUUGGGUUACUGUAUUGUUAAAGUGAAAAGGAAUGUUUUUAAUAAAUGCAAAUAA